CCUCCCCUUCGUCUUAUCCAUUCUGUCCUGCGCCGGCGACUUCGCCCAACCCGUCGUGCGCCAGCGGCCGCCAUGCCUCGCGCGGAAGGAUGGAGGGCGCUCGCCGUGAGGAUGGACGGCGCGGAGAGGCGCGCUCGCGCCCGAGCUCCUGUGCCCAUGCCUCGCGCCUCCUUGCACCGCUCCGGCAGCCCCUCGCCAUCCGCCGUCGUGGGCGACCACCAGCAGCGCCCGUCGCGCCUCUCCGCGCGCCACUCGGAGGCCCCAGCCAGGCCGCGCAGCCGUCCUCCUCCUCGACCUCGCCUCUCCGUGCGCCAACUGGCGCCGCCGCCGGCGGCCACGGGUCCAGCGCCGCCUUCGUCCUCCACCUUCUCCUAAAGCGCGCGUCCGCCGCGGGCGCUGGCGGUGGCGCGGCGGUCCUUGCCCUCGAUCUCACCGAGGAAGGCGUCCUUGCCGAGCAGCUCGACGAGAGCGCUGCCAAUGUCGCUGAACUGAAUCGCCAGCCAUCUCAGCCCACGUCUUUCAGCACGCAACCGGCGAACCCAUUCAGCAGCUCCUGGGCAAACAGCUUUGACCCCUGUUAACACGUUAUGAGGAUCCAUGGUCUCUUCUUCUAUUUCUUCAGUGCUACCAUCUUGAAACCGGUGCAGUUUCUGCUGCAUCUUCCUGACACUGGUCCUCAACUAGCUUAUUUUGCUCUUCUUUCUGAAGAUCCAUGGCCUGCUUUUCCAAUUGUUGAGUGGGUACAGAAGUCUUCAUAUCAUCACCUAAUUGAUUGCAAACAAAAUUCUCAUCACUUUCAGAUACGACAGUCAAGACACAUAAUGCGGGACACUGCAACUACAGAAAGGCAUGGGACACGCACGGAUUUAAGUCCAUGUCAGGGGCAUCACCUGUCUCAUGUUCGCAGGAGGAAGAAGCUCCAAGUUCGCCGGAGGUACACAAACAUCCGUUGAGCACUCCAAUGUCGCGGCGUCUACACCAGAGGUGCCAAAGGUGUCUCAGGUGGAGGCGAAGGAGGUUCUUCUAAUUCCUAAGGCACCAGACUGGACAUUCCUAUGUUGACUACCAUUUAUGGUCAAUAAAGUUGUCCGUGUUUGUUUUUGAUUGCUCAACUAAAUAUCUGAAGUCCAAUGAUGUAUGCAUUCAUGUUUCUCCUCUAAGGCACAAAGACUGGACAUUCCUAUGAAACAAUAAUUAUCCAGAAGUAGCCUAAUUAUAUGUAUUUGUGUUCGCACAUAUACAUCGUAACUAUGCUAAGGGGUAUUUAUAUGAACUUGGUUCAGGGCCAACAAUACCAGCUGUAGUGCUGAAACAAGCACGAUUCCAUCAUUUGUUACCGGUUCCUUUUGCUCGAUAGCAGGCUCUUUUUGUUGGAUGUGGUAUAAUUAUAUGCCGACAGAUAUUGACAGGUGUAUAAUGUAGUAUAUAUUCCUAAUUCCUCCAAUGUCUUAAUAGCAUGAAGAAUGUAGCACUUCAGGUCCUCAUCAAGUAAGGUUUCCAUUUAAGCAUGGUGUCCAUGCAUGCUAUUGUUAACUUUGCUGACAAUGGCAGCUUAGUGAUCACCGUGUUUGUUAAAUUUAAUUUUCACCUCCGUGUAAUGUAUCAUAGUACUAUGCACAAAGAUACUUCAACACUAAAGCUCGCACCUAACUUGCUCGGGUCUCGGCUCAUGAUUCUUUCAACUUUCAUGUAGUGCUGCUGAAAUAUUAUGUAACACUCAAAUUUGAUGAUAUUUUUAAUGGGCACAACUGUGCCGGUAGAGGUUGACAGUUAAUGAAUUUUGUGAUAAUCUUCGGUUAUACUGUUAUAUAUAGCACUUUGCUGGUUAUAUGGUUCACAUUCUCUGAGCCAAUUCACAAUGACCAUUCCUGAUUUGGGCAUUAUGUUUUUAAAUCAUUUUGUAACAUUUUGGUUGAUUUUUUAUGCUGCUCCUUAAUUUUUUUCAUUGACUGGUGUUGAACUAAAUGAGUGUUGCCAUUCACAGGAUGCCCAGUACAACC